UCCGGUAUGGUGUAACGGCUAACAUUACCGCCUUUCAUACACCUUGAUUAAGAGAGCUGAUCGCGGUAGCUCGGGGUUCGAUUCCCCGUACCGGAA